AUCAGCAUCUUUUGCUUGAAAUGUGUGAAAAAAGUAGAAGUAUUCGAUGAAAUCCCUAACGAUACAACACCAUAUUUUUCAUGAUUCAUCAGAGAUCCAUAAGUCCUUGUUGGACUUUUCUUGCUCAAUAAAUUUCCUUGCUUGUUGUCAUUUGAACUUCAAAAGGGCAACUCUAUCGUCGUGCCUUUUGUCUUCAAUUGUAGGAAGUUGAACAACAGUGGCAGCUUCGAGAUUUUCAGCAGCAUCGGUAUUAACAAUUUUUUUAGCAUCAGCAGUGGGGUUAACUUCCCCCUUAAGAAGGUCAUCUUCCUCUUUAGAAGCAAUUUUUUCUUCUGGUACUUUCUUCUUUAUAUUUCUCCUUAUCUUCCCCCUUGAUUUCAGUGUCUUCACAAACAUCUUCCAUUUCUUCCUGACCAUCUAUAUCUUUCCCCUUUCUAGCAUCAAAAAAAUUUGGAGUGGCUAGCUCGUCUUUCUGAAAACUUGAAGGUAGAGGUGGAUUUUGGGAUUGUUGAACUGAAGGGGAUGCCAGCGAGACUUCUAGUCGUUGAAUGUGAUCUUCAAUUGAUUGUAGCUGGUGUUGAAAAGCAUUGACUGAUUCACUCAGAGCUUGAACUUCAGUAAUU
rnacentral:lncRNA from 1 species